GCGAUUUCAGUGCCAACUGAUUAUUUGGAUAUUGAUUUAAUUCAUAAAUUGAACUUGUAUUUUCAUGAUUUAUAAGGGAGAGUCACAACCACCAUUUGGCCCCCAUAAGAAUACAGUUGAAAUGCCUUAAGGAUAGCUUUUCCACUCCCUAAUAAAUCUUGCUCUUGUGACUGACUGGGUUUGAACCAGGUCUCCUGCAAGGUUACUCAUUAAAUGUGUGGUUCAUCGAACCAACUCGCAUUACACCCCCUUUGACCUCAGAACCAAUAUAACUGACUGGGUUUAAUCGGGCCUGCUGCACAAUGGCAAACAAGCAGAAGGAUCUGCAGAAUGCCUGAGACGUCAGUUUAAUUGGAGUUCUAACUCAGGUCUCCGAUCAUUUCUUAGAUGGUCAAAGUCACAUGUUACCUUUGCCGGAGAUUUGAACCUAACACGUCAUCGGGUCUCAAGCAAGGUUCUUAAAAAUCACGCUCUUUUGACAAGUAACCUUGCUGGAGCUUGAAGACUUGUUUUGCAGGUGGGUAGUCUAAAGUGUCGCCCCUUGUGCAAUUAAAGCUGAAUCAGCGUGAAGUAACUCGCUAAGCAGGCAACGUGAAGUCCUUUACAAUGGUGCCACUGGAUGUCUCGUUGCACUGGUUUAACCACUUGGGGGUCGCUGUGGAGUGAGUAUGUAGCAGAUGUGGAUCUGUGACAGCCUAAAUUGUCACCCCUUUAUCAAUUGAAAAUGCCACUUUCAAUAGCAUGGUGGGUUACAAUACUUCAGGAGGGUGGUCACAUGUGUUUGUGAAACAGAUGUCCUGAGUUGGUCUCUGUAUAAGCUGAUUCUGUCCUUUAAAAUGGUCCCCAUAGGCUUUACCUAAGAGGGCUAACAGUGUCGUGACAUGCAGGAGACCUGGUUCGAACCCAGUCAGUUGCAAGAUUAAAUGGAGUUGAAAGGCUAUCCAACUACUCUUAUGGAGGACAAAUUGCAGUUGACACUCCCUUCUGAUCACAGGUUGCGUCAGAGGGAACUAGAACGCACAGCCAUGGUCGAGAUUCUUAGCUUUCAGGAAUGUGGUCAAUAGCCUGAAUGGUUCAAAUUCUUAAGAAAAUACCAGCGACAUACCACAUAAGUUUCAGACACCGCUAGAAGCGUCUGAUUUUGUUCCAGGUUGAAUCUUAAAUGAAUGCAAUAGCUUCCAUAUUGAAACUCAAAUUUUAUUACAUUUAAAAAAAACAAUAAGACCCAGAUUAAAUACAAGUUACAUUUAAGUCAAUGGUUCAACUUGUACAUUCAAACAGAAAUGUAAAUAAACUCUGUCAGCACUGAAA